GCGAUUAUAUGUUUGUGCAAUAAAAGAAAACGGCUGAGUUGUCUAGUACAUUCAGGCAGUGUCAAUAUAUUAUCUGACUAUUAUUAAAAUUCCAUGUCACGGCGGCGAUAUACCUAUAUACUUACGAUCCAAGCUUUUGGCCUUUUCACCGCUACAGUCCACAAGGAAAAUCACAUUUUGUAUCAGUAAAGAAAAUCUUGCUCUUUUGCCAAAGUUUACAUACAUUUCCUAAAUUAUAAUGAGCAAAACGACCGAGCCGAUAGCCAUGACAAUGUGUGUUGUUGUUGCAACAGAGCUUGCCGCUUGGACUUCCCCGAAUU